AAAGAGAGACUUAGACGAGAGCGGUUCCGCACUGACGCCCAAUCCUCUCUCUGCUACCAUCAACCCACCAUCGUUAAUCAAGUCCCCUCCCUCUGCUCUUCCUCCUCCUACCCACCAAUCCACCAUCCUUCGAAGAUAUCGAAAACUAGUCCAAAUCAAUUCAUGGGUUUUGCAUGACCAAUCCUCCAUAACCCAAAAGAUCUCUCGUUUCAAUUGAUUCAAUUCGAUUGUCGAAAUGGCAGCAGCUCCAGAGCAGCCCCAUGAGGUCCUCCCCUGGCUGAGAGCCCUCCCCGUAGCUCCGGAGUACCACCCAACCUGGGCCGAGUUCCAAGAUCCGAUUGCCUACAUUUUCAAGAUCGAGAAAGAAGCUUCCCAGUAUGGCAUCUGCAAAAUCAUGCCACCUGUCCCUCCGGCGCCGAAGAAGACCGCAAUUGCUAACCCCAAAUCCCGAUUCGAAGGGAACUGCUUGCGACUUCGAUAAGACAAGCAACGCUGCCUACCUAAGUACUUAGUGGAAAUCCUGGUGAGGCUGACCCAAAUAACACAACAGUAAGUAAUUUAUUAUUUUGCUUACAUUGAACAAUUCUUUGGGAUGAUACUAACUGAUGAGUCUUGUGAGUACAUAUAUUUGGUAGCUAGUUCAUGUCAAGAUACCAGUAGGCAAACAAUGUGGUUUUGUUCAAUUUGUUAGCAGAUCUUGUGCAGAGUAGAAUGGGCGAGUAGUGGGAUCAUGAGUGUAGUUAUAUGUACAGUAUGUAUUGUUAUUG